rnacentral:lncRNA from 1 species
GGGCCAUACCUGAUAGUCAUAUGGUCCAAGCUGGUUGCAAGAGAAAGAUCAACCAUGGGAUUUAGGGCAGGGGCUUUGGGGUCACACAGUACCAGUCCACCUGAAGACUGAGUUAGACCACAUGGGAAAUCAAUCAAUCAAUCAUGCCAGUGUAAUGAAACCACAGUAACAACUCUGGAUACAAGGCUCAGGUGAGCAUCCUGGGUUGGCAGUGCUCCACAUGUACCAUCACACACGGAUGCCGGGAAGGGACUUUUAAAUAAUUCUCAGGAAGAAAGAAACUGCAGAGCCCAAGUGGAAUUCUGGAUAUAAUGAAAUCCUGCCCCAGCCUG